rnacentral:lncRNA from 1 species
GAACAUCUAUGAAGUGAGAACAUCAUAAUAUAACAUCUUUUUCAGUCAUUGUGAAAAUAUGAGACGAUGAAUAUGAGAGCGCUUUAUAAACUUCUAAGCCAUCUCCCAUGACUGAUCUCCAAGAUUCUCUCAAGCAUGGCCGAUUGUCUGCCUUUGUUCAAGGUCAUCUUGUCCACUCGAGUGGCACUCUCCACUCCUACUCCUGUCCAUGAAGCCAAGUACCUCUUCAUGGGUUGGCACUGAGAGGUAGGCACAGAAACCACUUCAGCUGGCACAUGAAAGAACAUCACUAUGACCCUUGCCUGUUAUUCAGCAGUAUCCUGGAUUUCCCCUUCAGUUCAGACGGGAAGCAGAACCUAGCACUCAGGUAGGCCUCUAUUCUUCCCUCUCUCCCUCACUUAGUGACACUCAGAAGACAAAGAUUGCGACCAUUUUCCUCUGAGGGGGAGCCCAC